rnacentral:misc_RNA from 1 species
GAUGAAGAACGCAGCGAAAUGCGAUAAGUAAUGUGAAUUGCAGAAUUCAGUGAAUCAUCGAAUCUUUGAACGCACAUUGCGCCCGCCAGUAUUCUGGCGGGCAUGCCUGUUCGAGCGUCAUUUCAACCCUCAAGACCCCUUCGGGGGACUUGGUGUUGGGGACCGGCACAGGGGCCUGCCUGCUUGUCUUGCAGCGCCCUCGCCGCCCCCGAAAUGAAUUGGCGGCCUCGUCGCGGCCUCCCCUGCGUAGUAGCACAAACCUCGCAACGGGAACGUGACGGCGGCCACUGCCGUAAAACAACCCAAUUUUAUUAGGGUUGACCUCGAAUCAGGUAGGAAUACCCGCUGAACUUAAGCAUAUCAAUAAGCGGAGGA